rnacentral:rRNA from 1 species
UACGUAGGGGGCAAGCGUUGUCCGGAAUCAUUGGGCGUAAAGCGCGUGUAGGCGGCUGGCUAAGUCCGCUCUGAAAGCCCGGGGCUCAACCCCGGGAGGCGGGUGGAUACUGGUCAGCUCGAGUCCGGAAGAGGAGUGUGGAAUUCCUGGUGUAGCGGUGAAAUGCGCAGAUAUCAGGAGGAGCACCAAUGGCGAAGGCAGCACUCUGGGACGGUACUGACGCUGAGACGCGAAAGCGUGGGGAGCAAACAGG